GGGAAUUUUCCGCAAUGGGGCGCAAGCCUGACGGAGCAAUACCGCGUGAGGGAGGAAGGCUCUUGGGUYGUAAACCUCUUUUCUCAGGGAAGAACACAAUGACGGUACCUGAGGAAUCAGCAUCGGCUAACUCCGUGCCAGCAGCCGCGGUAAUACGGAGGAKGCAAGCGUUAUCCGGAAUCAUUGGGCGUAAAGCGUCCGCAGGUGGCUUUUCAAGUCUGCUGUCAAAGCCCGGGGCUCAACCCUGGAGAGGCAGUGGAAACUGAGGAG
rnacentral:rRNA from 1 species